GAAGCACACCGAUCUUCUUAUAAAAUUGGAAUGAUACAGAGAAGAUUAGCAUGGCCCCUGUGCAAGGAUGACAUGCAAAUUUGUGAAGCGUUCCAUAUUAAA
rfam:Otolemur garnettii contig177830, whole genome shotgun sequence.